rfam:Brachypodium distachyon strain Bd21 chromosome 2, whole genome shotgun sequence.
CAGGGUACCCAUUGAUCCUCCUUAGUUUAACCAAAUGAAUUAAAGUUUUAAAAUGACACAAUUUUUUGAAAAAUUAGUUCAUUUGUUUUUACUAAGGAGUAUCAAAGGAUACCCCG